GUGUCAGCCGCCGCGGUAAGACAGAGGGGGCAAGCGUUGCUCGGAAUCACUGGGCGUAAAGGGCGCGUAGGCGGGAUGGCAAGUCAGUCGUGAAAUCUCUCGGCUCAACCGAGAAACGUCGGCUGAUACUGCCGUUCUUGAGGGAUGCAGAGGAGACUGGAAUUCCCGGUGUAGCGGUGAAAUGUGUAGAGAUCGGGAGGAACACCGGUGGCGAAGGCGGGUCUCUGGGCAUCUCCUGACGCUGAGGCGCGAAAGCGUGGGGAGCAAACGGGAUUAGAUACCCCCGUAGUCC
rnacentral:rRNA from 1 species